UAGAAACUUUCCUAACUAGUCAAGCUUCCAGGGUAUAUGUGGGUAGGAUUUUGCUCAUUUCCUGCUGUGUGAUUUCAUUGUGCUGUUCUGACCUUGUCUUUGCAUAGAGUGCUGGCCGGUAUAAACUGGAAAUGUAUGUUAAGUCGUUGUCCAAGGCGGUGUUGCAGAUGUGGCCAGUAUUUGUUUUAAGGGAAUCAGUGAAGGGCAUUCUGCACUCAAGCUUUUUGAAAAACUUUGCAGAUGGUCAUGGCUGUGGAUGCUGAGUGGUGUGAAGAACACUGCAGUUCAUUGAAUAUGGUGUGAGGAACACUGCUGUGCACUGACUGUGUGGUGUGAGGAAUACUGCUGUGCACUGACUGUGUGGUGUGAGGAAUGCUGCUGUGCACUGACUGUGUGGUGUGAGGAAUGCUGCUGUGCACUGACUGUGUGGUGUGAGGAAUGCUGCUGUGCACUGACUGUGUGGUGUGAGGAAUGCUGCUGUGCACUGACUGUGUGGUGUGAGGAAUUAUGCUGUGCACUGACUUGUGCUGUGAGGAAUGCUGCUGUGCAUUGAUGCUGCCUUUUUUCUUUUCCCCCUACACCUGCAUCCUUCUGGUGGCUCAGGUUGGACAACUAGGUGCCCAUGAACAACUCCUCAUUGUGGAUGGAUUUAGUCUGGUUGGACUUUCUCAGGAAAGGUAAGACUAAUUGGUUACUUUAAAGCUGAUUGGUUAGUCUUAGUGUAUUGAAGUGAUAUUUUGCUUUUUAUUUUGAAAUUUGAAUUCAAAAAGAAGUGAUGUAAAAGCUCUUUGUGUUUACUCAUCUUCCCCUAUAAUCCUAGUUGUUAGAGCACAUGAAUCUCAUUUGUGUUCACUCAUAAGAAUGUAUAUUCUUUAGAGUAUUUCCUUAAACAAUUAUAUAAAUAUGUACACAUAUACUUAGAGCUUGUAAAAUGUUUAAAUAUCUUAAUGUUAAUGUUAUAGAAUAGAAUAUAUUUACCUGUUUUAUAAUUAAUUAUCAUAAGUGAUGUGGACAGGACAUAAUCUUCUGAAAGCCUAGUUUAUUUCCCACACAGCAACCGGGUUGAGGAACCUAAGCACAAGUAUUCUGAACAUAGACUCUACUGUGACAGUGACCGCUGUUUCUUUAUAUUUUCUACCUAAGGCAGCUGAACUCAUGACUAGUACCAGUUCCAUGGUUACCCUGGAAGUUGAAAAUCAAGGCAUCCUCUCUCACUGCCUGUCCACCUUUCUUAACCAGCCAUUGUCCUCCGUGGUGCAGAGAGUUUCAGAUCAUUAUGGCUCAAGUAAACCCAGAACACAAAGUGAAGUUUUUGUAAGUUUUAUUUUUCUUGGAUAUUUUAUGUAUUCACAUUUCAAACGUUAUCCCCUUCCCAUACUCUCCCAACCCCCUGCCCCUGCUUCUAUGUGGAUGCUCCCGCUCCCACAUACCCAUUCCCAUCUCAGUGCUCUGGAAUAAGGAUGCUUGCAUGUAACCAUUGCACUGAAUAUGGGGACCCCAAUGGAGGAGUUAGAGAAAGGACUGAAGGAGACGAAGGGGUUUGCAACCCCACAGGAGGAACAACAAUAUCAACCAACCACAAUCCACCAGUACUACCAGGUAGCAAACUAUCAACUAAUGAGUACACAUGGAGGGAUCCAUGGCUCUAGCCACAUGUGUAGCAGACGAUGGCAUUGUCCAACCUCGAUAGGUGGAAAAGGAAAGGUUUUGAGCCCUAUAAUAAUUCAGCUCAAAACGGCUCCCCAGAGAGUCCUCAAAAGCCUUGGACAGUGGAGUGACCCAACGAAACUGCCUGGUAAAGACAGGCUGAUGAAAAACUGAGCAGAUCACCUUUUCAGCCCCAAUGUGAUAAGAGGAGGCACUCUCUAAGUCAACUUGUCACCCAGAAGCCAGUGAGGCACAUUGUACUUUGAUCAUUGUUGUUUUCAUAGAGGUCUCAAAUUAGUCCAAAAUUAGGAUUUUAUUUGAAAAACCCUUGACCUUAUAGAUCAAAAUGCACUGCAAAUGUGUCUUCAAAAAAGUGUCAGGUUUCCAAGGUAGUGGAGAUCAUUUUUACACUUAAAAGGCUGGCUAACAAAGUAGUGAGGAUGAAGUAUACUGAAUAGAGACCCCAAAUCCAAAAGGCUUCAACCUCCAAAUGGCUUCACAUAUUUACUCUCAUGUCUCUAGCACAGAUCUCAUCUGGUCCUGGAGAAAGUCCUUAUCCUGGUCUGUGGUGUCAGGAGACUUGUAGGGGUGCGUGAAGCCGACUUCUGGUACAUCUUUGUCUGUGGCUCAGUGCUAAACAUCCUGCCUUCAGUGUAUGAUGGGUAUGCCAUGGCUCAUGCUUUUAAAGGAAUGUUAUGUUUAUUUUACUUGUCAUUUAAUGUGGCACUUGGGUUUUUAACACUAUUUCUAAUAGAUCAACCUCCUAUUCCUGGAGAGAAGUGUGCAUAUACCAUAGAACAGCAACUAACAUCUGUCUCCACUGGAGACCUCUGCACUGAGGUCUGAGAUGAGCUGGAACACUUUCUUACUUGUCAAAUAUCUGACUUGUUUGAUAAAGUUCCCAACAAAUUACAUUAACUAUCAUUCCUGAAUUUUGUUCACUGAAGUUUUAUUUUUAUUACGCUACUCAAGUAAACUAAUACUAAAUUAAUGAAUCUGGGAAAAUGAGAAUUAGUGUAAAUGAGUAAAUAAGAAAAUUUGAAAUGUUUUUUAUUGAAAGCAUAGGGUCAACAUUACAUUUUUAGCACAGCAUUUAAAAUACAUGCUUUUUAGAAAACCAUUUAUUUAUUUCCUUUAUAAUCCAAUAUUAACCCUUCCUGUCUUCCCAGUAACCCACCAUACAAAUCUUCCCUCCAUCGCCCUUUCCUGAAAUGGCAAAGCUCCUUUCGGGGUUUCAACCCCCUUGAAUGCUUUUUAAAAGAUUGUAAAACAGAUCCCUGAGGAAAAAGUACGCCUUUUAUGCAGGUUUAAGCAUCUGAUUGUUUAUUUCUUUACAUUUCACAAGAACAGACCCCUCAACCUAGACCUGGUUAGGAACUAAAUUGCAGGAGUGACAGUGCCACAAACAGAAUGCAUUAGUGUAUAGAAAAAUCUUUUUAUUCCUUCAUAGACACAGGAACAGCUGGCUACUUGGUGGGUAAGCUAUAAAGCAGUGUCAGGUCUGGUUAUUCACCCAUUACCCAUGUUUGUUACCUCCUCUGUGAGGAAGAAACAUGCAUGAAAUUUUGCUAACAUCUCAGGUGAGUCCCUGAAGUUCCAAGGAAGAACUUCAGGAAGACUUUUACCUACUUGAGCUCCAUUGAGUAGAGGCUGGCAAGGGUCUCUAGUGUGACAGUGAUAUGUGUGUGGAUCCAGAGCUCCUCAGUGGAAUCUAUGACAUCCAGACAGGAGCACCUGAACCCUUCCUCCAAGUCAGUUACCCCUGUUUCCACUCUGACUAAGAGUGGUCCUGGCCAUUGGGAACCCCCAGCAGAGGUGCUGCCCACCCCUGUCACUGUCACCCAGCCCAUAUGAACAGACCUCCCUCCACCACCUCCUCUACCACAGGUCCACUACACCAGAUUUUGGCGGCAUUUCAGUGGAUUUGCAUCUCCCACCACCUUCUGCAAACAAGGCAGGAUCCCAGUCUGCUCAGGUGGCUGCUGCCUAGCAAAAAAGAGUGAGGAGCAGUAGCGGUGGUCUGAGAUAUAGAAGGCCUGUCUGGACAAGGAAGCAGAGAGGAAGCACAGGGAGCAGAAGAGGAAAGGGUGACAGAUGCACUCUCAUUCCCUGAACCUGCUUCCUUCUCUUCUUUGACCACACCGACCAAACCAGGAACACCUUCCACACUGCAGAGGCCCCAAGAAACAGUCAUUCUGGUGUUGUAGUCCCCACAGCAGCCCCCCACUAUUGAGCACAGGGAUCUGCAGUUCAUAACUAUCAGUAAAGAGGAGUUGUCCUCUGGGGAGUCUGUCUACAGACCCAUGGAAACGAAAUGCCAGGAAGAAGCUGGAGAAGCAACAGCAAAUGCACCUUGUGGAUAUGCUAAGCAAGGAGAUCCAUGAGCUGCAAAACAAGGGGGUCAGCAGUGCAGAAGAGACUGACUGCCUGUGGAAGCUUAUGCUGGAGUGGCAGUUCCAGAAGAGACUUCAGGCCAUAUUUCUUGCGUUUCUCCCAGGUUCAUUUCAGAAUACUGUUCAAGAAGCUCAACAUUUGACGUUUCCAUAGUAGAAAUUUAUAACAACAAUGGUUUUGCCCUUCUGACCUUACACAGUUCUACAGUGAUGUCUAUGGUUAAGUGCCAGGCAGUGAGAACCCAGGAGUGACAUUCAGAGGUACACAGGAUGACCAGCAGGUGAGGUGCUCCUGGGGCCCAGUGUCCUGAGUGCAGGUCCUCGACCUUACAGCUGCCCACUCCAGCUGUGCCUGGGAUGGAGCCAGUGCCACCAAACUAGGAAGCACCUCAGGGAGUGUGCUUAGUAUGUGCCCCAUUGCUUCAGUGCAUGACAAGGUUAAUCUGCAGGAGCAGCAAGGAUUUUAGACAGCUUGUGUUCUGUAUCUGAGAAAGAACAUGUCUUUAAGAACAUCAAGAUGCUCACCUCUAGCACAUAUCAGCUUUAUAUAUCAAAGAUAUAAUAAAGCUGUUUAAAACAUAAAAGUUUAGGGUAGCUCAAGUGUAGGAUGUACUGACCCUGAGUAUUAUAUCUAAUUACACACACAUAUACACACACACACACACACACACACACACACACACACACAGGGAGAGAGAGAGAGGGAGAGAGAGAGAGAGAGAGAGAGAGAGAGAGAGAGAGAGAGAGAGA